rnacentral:rRNA from 1 species
GACGAACGCUGGCGGCGUGCUUAACACAUGCAAGUCGAACGGAAAGGCCUGCUUUCCCUUGUGGAUUGCGGGUACUCGAGUGGCGAACGGGUGAGUAACACGUGAGUGAUCUUUCCCCAACUUGGGUAUAAGCCUGGGAAACUGGGUCUAAUUCCCGAUAGGUCUGCAGGGUGGUGCCUGUGGUGGCAAACGAUGUUCUAGUGGUUGGGGAUGAGCUCGCGGCCUAUCAGCUUGUUGGUGGGGUAAUGGCCUACCAAGGCGGCGACGGGUAGCCGGCCUGGGAUGGUCGGCGGCAGCGGUUGAACGGAGAUACUGCGCAGGAUACUACGGGAGGAAGCAGUGGGGAGUAAGGCGCAGUGGACAGUGGCCUGAGGGAGGGACCCUGAGUGAGCAAUGCCGGGCUUCGGGUUGUGGCCUCCUUUCGGCAGCGAGGAAGCGCCCGGGUUGGAAGGGUAGUGACGGUAGUGGUAGAAGAAGCACCGGCUAACUACGUG